UAUGGGGCAGAACCCCCCGGCUGUGGGGCAGGGGGACCCCGCUGUGGGGUGGGGUGCAGGGUCCGGGCGUGGCCCCGCAGCGCCUCGAAUUCCCUCUGGACAAAAUCGGUCAGGGCCUUGCGGAGCUCCACCUGUGGGGCAGAGCCACCGAGCUGUGGGGCAGGGCGGGGAUCUGUGGGGCUGGGAUCUGUGGGGCUGGGAUCUAAGGAUUUAUGGGGUUGGGAUCUGUGGGGCUGAGAUCCAGGGAUUUAUGGGGCUGGGAUCUAAGGAUUUAUGGGGUUGGGGUCUGUGGGGCUGGGAUCCAGAGAUCUGUGGGGCUGAGAUCUAGGGGUCUGUGGGGCUGGGAUCUAGGGAUUUAUGGGGUUGGGAUCUUCUGUGGGGCUGGGAUCCAGGGAUUUAUGGGGAUGGGAUCUGGGGAUCUGUGGGGCUGGGAUUGAGGGAUUUAUGGGGCUGACAUCUAGGGAUCUGUGGGGCUGAGAUCCAGAGAUCUGUGGGGCUGGGAUCCAGGGACUUAUGGGGCUGGGAUCUAAGGAUUUAUGGGGUUGGGAUCUGUGGGGCUGGGAUCCAGGGAUUUAUGGAGCUGGGAUUUUGGGAUCUGUGGGGCUGGGAUCCAGGGAUUUAUGGGGCCGGGAUUUUGGGAUCUGUGGGGCUGGGAUCCAGGCGUUUAUGGGGCUGGGAUUUUGGGAUCUGUGGGGCUGGGAUCCAGGGAUUUAUGGGGCCGGGAUUUUGGGAUCUGUGGGGCUGGGAUCCAGGGAUUUAUGGGGCCGGGAUUUUGGGAUCUGUGGGAAUCUAUGGGGCUGGGAUCUGUGGGGCUGGGAUUUCGCGCUGAGAACCCCCCCCAAAUCUAUGGGUCAACCACGCCCAAAUCCAUGGGGCAAACCCCAAAUCUCGGGGUCAGAACCCCCCAAAUGUGGGGGUCCCACACCCAAAUGUGGGGGUCUCACCCACCAUGGGGGUCCCACAUCCAUUUGGGGGUCCCACACCCAAAUGUGGGGGUCUCACCCACCGUGGGGGUCCCUCCCCACAUCCAUUUGGGGGUCCCACACCCAAAUGUGGGGGUCUCACCCACCAUGGGGGUCCCUCCCCACACCCACUUGGGGGUGCCACACCCAAAUGUGGGGGUCUCACCCACCAUGGGGGUCCCACACCCAUUUGGGGGUCCCACACCCAAAUGUGGGGGUCUCACCCACCGUGGGGGUCUCACCCACCGUGGGGGUCCCACACCCACUUGGGGGUCCCACACCCAAAUGUGGGGGUCUCACCCACCGUGGGGGUCCCACACCCACUUGGGGGUCCCACACCCAAAUGUGGGGGUCUCACCCACCGUGGGGGUCCCCUCGCUGCGCAGCCGCUCCAGGAGGGGCCGGGCGCUGAACGGGCGCCCCACGACCACCGUGAUGUGCUGGGGGGGGGAACGGGGUCAGGGGGAGCAGGGACCCCAAAAACCCCAUAGAAAUGUCCCAAAAAAUCCCCACACAGAUCCCCAAAAUCCCAGAGAAAUCCCCAAAAAGAAUCCCAUAGAAAUCCCACAGAGAGCCCAAAAAACAAUCCCAUAGAAAUCCCAAAAGUCUCACAGAGACCCCCAAAAAGAAUCCCAUAGAAAUCCCACAGAGAGCCCCAAAAAGAAUCCCAUAGAAAUCCCAAAGAGAGCCCCAAAAAAAUUCCGGAGAUCCCAAAAGUCCCACAGGGACCCCCAAAAAGAAUCCCAUAGAAAUCCCACUUAGAUCCCAAAAAAUAAUCCCAGAGAUCCCAAAAGUCCCACAGGGGCCCCCAAAAAGAAUCCCAUAAAAAUCCCACAGAGAGCCCCAGAAUCCCAGAGAGGUCCCCAAAAAAUGCCACAGAGAUCCCCAAAAUCCCAGAGAUCCCAAAAAAAAAAAUCCCACAGAGAUCUCCCAAAAAAAUCCUAAAAAAUCCCAGAGAUCCCAAUAAAUAACCCCAUAGAAAUCCUAAAAAUCCCA
ensembl:lncRNA